GAUGAAAAAGGUAAGUAAGAGCUUCUGAAUGUAAACAUGAUGAUACAGCGCAGUCUGAAAUCUGAAAUAUGUGUUAUUGCAUUGUACAUCUUUUUUCGUCCAUAUAGAAUCUGUCGUUUAUUUAAUGAAUCAAAUAAUGUUUUACUAACCUUUCCUUACUUUUAUUCACUCCUCCACCUGAGCUGCUGCUGUUCACUGUGGAAUUCCAACAUGAAUACAAGUAAAAGUAAAAUAUUUUCACUCAUAUGCUUUGCCUUUAUAUCAUAACUGAUUUAACAAAUGUAAACGUGCUUUUUAGUUUUGCGGCCACUCCCUGUGGACACCACAGUCGGUACGAGAAAAUAUUUUUUUGUGUAUAACGGGUUCUCCAUGUAAUAUAACUGAUUCAAAAUUGAAAUAUUGUUCAUCUUACUCUACAUUUUAUAUAUUUUUCUCCUCUUUCCUCCACCACCUGCGCUGCUGCAAUUCGCUGUGGAAAAAACUGUAGAGUAGAGUAUAAUAUUGACAGGCAAUGUAACAUUUUAAUGUGAACUAGCUUUGGAGCUUCAGACUGACAUACAGUGCAGCACAUGCAGGGUUACCUUGACGACACAGAAGAAAUGCUCCCAUCGGACCUGCAGGACAAGCUGGAGAUCAGACAGAGAGACACAGUGUUCCUGCUGCAAAUCCAGGCUUACCUCUGGAGGAGAGCUGCAGAGAUAAUCGUCUGUGUUUCGGUCUAUGCAGGACUCCUCCGGGUCUGUGGACGUCCCGGGUCUCCAGAGAGAGGAGGAUCAGCGCGCUGUGUCAGCAAAAACUCUCAAUGUCACUGUGUUGUUGACUUCAAUAAAACACCCAGACCCGGUCUAAAAGUCAA